rnacentral:misc_RNA from 1 species
UAUCAUUCAUGAGAAAGUGAGUACAAGUCGUCUUGAGUUAGCAGAUACAUGAGAUGAGGAGAGGGAUUUAAAGUCCACCUUAUUACAACAUUACUAGUUCUGACAUUAACUGCUAGUCAAUCAGCACAUUUGUUUGCUGAUCUAGGAAUAGAUUUGAUAGUUAAACCUUGAGUAACUCUCAGCAAAUUCUUAACUUCAUGAAUGAUAGCCUCUAGAGCACAAGGGACGGGAGCUAGAGGAUGGUCAAAAAACUGACAAAGCUGCAUUGAAUCUGUUUCAAUAAUGCAAGGCAAGAAGCCUCUGUUAAUAACGAAAUAAACAGCUGCUCUUAUUCUCUUAAUGCAAUACCUUCAGCCACCAAUGGGGAAAUAUAUUUAAAGGCUGCUGAACAUCCAUCUAUUAAGGCACUUUCAGCAUUUCUGACUAAGCAUCCACAAGAAGCGGCAUCCGACUUGCUAUUAUAAGAGGCAUCCGUAUUAACCUUGUUGACACCCACUGGUGGAAGACUCCACAAAGCCAAAUCCAGACGAGACGCAUAAAUAGACGCAUAAAUAGAAACUAAGGGAGAAUGUUGUUGUGGAGGGGCGAUGGCUUGCACUACCCCAAUAGCAUUCUGGGCCUUGCGCAGAGAAAGCAAAGGAUUUGGCUGAAUGGCAUUAAACACAAAAUUAUUCCUUGCUUUCCAAAGCUGCCAUGAUAAGUGAGCAGCUAACUGAAGUUCCAUCUGGUCAUGGGAGGAAUUGAUUAACAUAAUGUAAUUUAUCCAAUCAGCAUAAGACCCGAAACCUUCCUCCCGAGGGUAAAACCCCAAAGAUGAUCCAUACCAGGACGCCUUUGCAUGAGGGCAGAAGAAAAAAAGGUGCUCUAAUGAUUCCUCCUUGUUGCCACAGACUUGACAGCAUGGGUUUGGGGUACACCUUCGCUUGAACAAAUUUACAUUGGUAGCCACAGAAUUAUUUGCUGCUCACCACACAAAGUUUUAAAUCUUAGGAGGAAACUGAAGUGACCAAAUUUUUUUCCAAAAAGAAGAUGGAAUUUAUGUGGAAGUUGAAGUAGAUCGCAUGGGCUCUGUUGAAAUUUGGGCUUUCUUCGACAAAUAAUACACAGAUUUAACAUUCGGAACUCCAAAUCCAAAGAAAUGCCAAAUCAUAUCAGGUUCUGCAAAGACAUCUGCAAUUGGAAUUUUCAUAAUUUCUCUGCAUUACAAAGGUGAGAAAGAAGCAUGUAAAACAUAAGGAUCCUAAUGCUUGGAUAUUGGAUUAAUCAAAUCUGCAACAUAAAUCACGGGGCUAUCUGGCGGUCUUGUGCAUCCGACUCUGAAAUCUUGUAAAGUGGGCACCCAUGGAUCAUUCCAAGCAUUCACAAAUGAAGGGCCUUUAAUAUUCCAUCUUAAUCCAGGUUUCAGCGCUUAUCUUCCACAAAUAAUACUUCUCCAACCCCAUGAAUUGUGGUUAUCUCGACGAGCUUCAAGAAAAUUGGAAAAGGAAAAUAAAUUCCUUUUAGGAUGCGGCCCCAUAAAGACUGAGGGUUCUUUAGCAGUCUCCAAGCCUGCUUUGCCAAGAAAGCAAUAUUAAAUAUCUCCAAGUCCUUAAAACCAAUCCCACCCUCACUUUUAGACCAGGAAAGCUUGCCGCCACCCAAAUUUAGAGAUAAGUUGAUGAAUUUCAUUGAUGAGGCUACUUGGAAGCUUGCACACCAACAUAAUGUAGGCCGGAAUGGCCUGGAAUACUGAUUUGACUAAAAUCUCUUUCCCUGCUUGAGAGAGGCAUUUACUUGUCCAUCCUUUGAGCUAAUUAACCACCCUUUCCUUAAGAAAAAACAGCGCCUCGUAUUUGGAUCCACACCAAGGAACUGGAAGACCCAGAUAUUUAGAUAAGGAA